rnacentral:lncRNA from 10 species
GAGUGGUGGAGGGGUCCAGCCCUAAAAACUGGAUCUUAAAAGUCAAGAGGAGUUUAACUGUAGGUCAAGUCAUGGCGUAGACUGACUUCUCCAUCCAGGGAACUGAAACCCAGUCUGGACAAGUCCUCAACCAGUGCAUCCCCACCUCCUCCCUCUCCCUUCCCGCGGCUCAGCAGCCCAGCCCAGCCCUGAGGAAAGCGUUGGCAGCUGGAGCUGGGAAUGAGGUGGCAGAGCCAAGAACAACAGAGGCACCGCCUUGGCGCUGUGCAGAUCCUCCCUGGUCUGCCUAUAAUGCCUCUUGUCACAGUCAGAGGCACCGCCUGGCCACCUGGAUGCUGCGCAGACCCUCUCCUUAUCUGACUGUAAUCCUGGUCAGCCCCCUCCUCCCAGUCUGUGGUCCUGACCCUACUGGGCCACAUCUGCCUCUCUUUGCUAGGCCUCAGGGCUAGCCCUGGAGGUUACUGUCAUCCCCUGCCUUUGGGUCCAGCUGCCCCUUUACCCAGGUCACUCAGGAUUCUCUACCCUAAUCAUCCCUAGUUUUCACGAUCUCUCUCCUGCAUGCAAAUGUUUCUGGGAAAUGAGUUGCCUCCUUUCUAGAUUUCUGACCCUUCUCCCUGCUUGCACUUCAGUUUGCUGGGAACUUUUUUCAGGCCUAACUCCUAUUUAUCCUGCUGUGAGGACAAUUUCAUUUGGGGCAAAUCAGAGCCUGGCCUUCUCAGACUUGAAAAGGGCUGGGCCCCUGAACCCAGAGAGAAAAGAAAGCAGCACUCUUCUCUGUACCAAGGAUCAGGCCAGACUGGGGGGCAACCUGCCUGAGUCUGUGCUCUGUGCUAAGUGGAAUCCUGAAGGCUCAGGGUGGCCAGGAGACAGAACUCUCUUGCCCCAGCUGCUCCCAGCCCCUCUCUUCUACUCUCAGACUUCCCUGCAUUCCGUAGAAGUCCUGAAUUCAUUGCUGCCCCUAUGCGGAGUAGCAGAGAUCCAGGUGUCUAGCCCCACCUGGGUUUAAUUUCUACAUGCGUUCCAGCCAACAAACUCUCUGACCCAGCAGAUACAAUAACACUGCCCAGGGUGAGGUUCUUCUCCAAAUGCUGAAUUUGGCCAGAGAAUCUCCAUGGUCCCGGUUAGGGGUGAGGGUGGGGGCUUAAUCACUCUCCCACACUUCCCAUCCCCAGUCAACCUUUCCCUCUCCAGCGGCUGGGCUGGGUGGUCACUCCUUCUCCCUGCUAGCCUCAAGAAGUAAUGGAAAGGGGAGGGGGUUCUCCUCUCCCCAAGUCCUAGACGCCUCAGUUAUAUACACAUCUACACCCACUCACACUCUUCACCAUCCAGGAGCCCUCUCCUGCCCAUCUCUAUUCCUUCAGGUGUAAGACCAGCCACCUUCCUUUUAGCCACACCACCAUGGAACAAAGUCCCAGAAUGUUGCUCUCCUAAGUCUCUCGAGCUUGUUUCCUCCUCACUCCACCCCUACCUAUCCCACCUCUGCCCCCCCAGCUUUUCUCAUCAACUUUGCACCCUCCCCUCACUGAGUCUCCAGAUUCCUGGGGGGGCCCCAAGAGGGUUAUGACCAAAGCUCCUGCAAAGGGUCACCCUGGGCAGAUCUGUAGCAGAUUAGGUCAUAAUUAAAAGGCCAGAGGCACUGGGAAAUUCCUUCUCCUUAUUGAUCCCAGCGGGAAAUUAAAGCCAGUUGUUUGUGACUGAGUGGCUGAUGAAGGCUGCAGCUCCUCCCCAUUGCCUGGUUCCAGGGUCCUAGCCCCUGCUCCUUGCCUCUAGGCAUCUCCAUCCUCCUUGGUUAGUCCCCUUCCCCAGGCCCCUCCACUCUCUCAUCUCCUACCCCUCCACCUCCCCGAGUCCCCUUCCCUAGCAUCUUCCCUAAGAACCCUCCGUGCCUGCUGCUCCCUGGGGUAACAGGGCUGCUAGAGGCUGAGACCUCGGCCUCAGCUAUUCAGCACCCUGCUUAGACCCCCUACCCACCUCCCUCAGCCAGGGUUAGGGUGCUGGGGCUGGAGCUGGAGCUCAGGCCCAGAGCUGCCAAACCGCAAAUGCUCACAUCUGGAAAGAAUUCCUCUCCCAGCCCGACUUCCCUUUGUCUUACUUCUGUCUCUUUGGAAAUCAUGGCCAGUUGGCUGGUGGAGGGAGUGGGGAAGUGAGGAGAGGGGAGUGGGCCCAGGUCUCCCUGCCCCCACCCCAGGGAGCCCCACUGCCUGGCUCCAGCCUCCCCAGCAGCCUCAGCCAAGCCAUCCAGCCUGUGCUCCCCUGCUCUAGCAUCGAGGGGCCAAUCACCCCCUCCUAUGACUGUCCCUGCAUCCUGGUGACCAUCUUUUGGGUGAGGUUUUAACAUCUUUAGUCACUCACAAGGCUAGGGGGGAGAGUGCACUGAUCCUUUUGUCGUGCAGGAGGAGGGAUGCUUAUUGAGCAGGAGGCUGGGCGCUUCCAGCUGGGGGCUCAAGAGGGCUGGUGGCAUGGAG